UACGGGGGGGGCAAGCGUUGUUCGGAAUUACUGGGCGUAAAGGGCUCGUAGGUGGCCAACUAAGUCAGACGUGAAAUCCCUCAGCUUAACUGGGGAACUGCGUCUGAUACUGGAUGGCUUGAGUUUGGGAGAGGGAUGCGGAAUUCCAGGUGUAGCGGUGAAAUGCGUAGAUAUCUGGAGGAACACCGGUGGCGAAGGCGGCAUCCUGGACCAACACUGACACUGAUGAGCGAAAGCCAGGGGGAGCAAAACGGG
rnacentral:rRNA from 1 species